CAGACUAGCAAAGUCUUUGGCAGUAGUAGAGUAAAUGCUGCAACCAUUUUCUGUUCAACCGCAAUCAAAUGGAUUCUGCCCCUGAUGACAAGAGUGACUCAUGAUCAAUCGAUCAGUAUCUGUCUUCUGGGAUAUGGGUGCUCAAGCAGGCUGGAAAGAAAUUAAGUGAGAAGAAAUGAGAAUAAAAUCUUCAAAAACCUUCCAGAGAAGCAGGUGAGGAGAAUGAAAACAGUACAGACUUUUUGUUGCAGGCGAAACAUUACCUUAAUAUAAGGGUGGUGAACUCAAGCACUGAACUUCUCUAACAUUCACCUUAAGAAAAGCUG